GGCUUGAGGACCGUAUUCAUGGAAGAGGAUCGAACAGAUAUGAAGUAGACAGUAUGUUGGAUAAAUCUGAAGGAAGAACAUCAACAACAAAUUUUGUGAGCAGUAUAUAACUACAUUUCAGAAGUCUUAUAUGGAUGUACAGAAAUUCAAUGAGGAGAAAGAAAAAUCAGUGAAUAGUUGUCAAAAAGAACAACAAGCAUUGAAACUGUCCAAAUGUAGUCAGAACCAGACCCUGGGAGCAGGUAAAGAAAUGCAUGAGAAGUCCAUGGAGAUUAUCUGAGUGAAGCAUAGCAACUGUAACUUAAAUCAAGAAAGCUAUUUUGUGCAGACAUUAGAAAUGUGAAGAUAAUUCUCAAAAGGUAUAUAUCAUCUGAAUCGAUACUUAUAAUUUCCUACCCAUUUUACCAUGCAGCAAGUUCUUCAUGCCUAGCAGGAUUAUUCUGGUACUUAAAUUUAAUGUUUUCAAGAUGUAAAAGACCAACUGGAAAUUCAGAAAAGCACAGUGAAUACAGAAUUAGCCAGAAUACAAGCUACCCCCUAUUGUAGGAAAGAGUGGAUAUUCUGACAGUAAAUAGCUUUAAAUAUAACUACUGAGAUAAAUUAGAGUUAAACAAAGGAGGGGGGUGCUAAAACAUUCAGGAAUUCCAAGAAGAAAAAACUUAUGGCAUAGCAUUGAGGCAAUGACACAAGGAAAUAAUUAGAUAUUAGAAAGUGCACCUGUGUUUCUGAAUGAUGCAAGCCUUUAUUGCUGUGUAGCCAAAGGGAAACCGAAAUCCUCCAGAAAAAUCAAAGAGAGGAGCCAAAUAAACACCUUUCAUCCAGCAAGAUCAAAAACUGCUCUUAGAAAACUGGCAAGGUAUGCAACAGGCAAACGAAGUUCCUGUGUCAGUAAAGUAGGAUCUUCAAUUAUAGCCUCAAUUUUACACUUUCUCAGUGUAUCAAUUUCUAUAAAAUAUGACCUCUCAAAUAAUCAGUUUGACUAAAGAUUUAAUAAAUCAUUCUGUGCAACUAUAUUCCAGCUGCAUCAUUGGACUGAAAGUGAAUGGCCCAUGUGUUGCCACUGAUGUGAGCCAUUUGCAAGCC
rnacentral:precursor_RNA from 1 species